UGGCUCUGUUGGUAGAGCAUGGUGUUUGCAACACCAGGGUUGUGGGUUCAAUUCCCAC
rnacentral:tRNA from 1 species